rnacentral:rRNA from 1 species
UACAGAGGAUGCAAGCGUUAUCCGGAAUGAUUGGGCGUAAAGCGUCUGUAGGUGGCUUUUUAAGUCCGCCGUCAAAUCUCAGAGCUCAACUCUGAAACUGCACUCGAUACUGCUUUGCUUGAGGACUGGAGAGGAGAUUGGAAUUCACGGUGUAGCAGUGAAAUGCGUAGAUAUCGUGAGGAAGACCAGUGGCGAAGGCGGAUCUCUGGACAGUUCCUGACGCUGAGGCGCGAAGGCCAGGGGAGCAAACGGG